rnacentral:lncRNA from 1 species
CUGCAUUUUAUGUACCCACAUAUGCAUGUCUAUAAAUGACACACCCCGUCCCGAAGGAGGGCAUGCUGGCCGUCACGUGAGAGUGACGUAACCAUUUGCACAGUACGGAAGCUUUAAGAUACAAUUUAUAAGUUGAUACACCCGAAUGUGAGUCCUAAUUUUGUCCAAUCUGUCAGAACACCGUCAAAUUCCUCGUAGUCACCACACCUUUGUGAUUCCUGAACCUGGAGGGGCGCAAAACCAAAAUUGAGUGGGUCAGUAAAACAAUUCUUUUCCAAAUCCAAACAUUUCUCAAAACGUUGUAACCCCAAUCCGUAAAACUUGUAUAUUUUCCCAGAAAUGUAAAAUAUAAAUAUACAUAUAUAUUCUCAAUACUUCAAUUCAUUAACUCAACAUUUUUCAGUACAAUUAUGCCAUGCCAUGUCUAAUUCAACAGUUAAGUAUGGAUGCAUCAACAAUAAUCAUAUCAGGUGCAAGAAAGUAAUCAACCGGAGGCCCUCUAAUAGCCAUGUACGGUUGAACCUAGAGCUCAAAAUCUAUCACUCUCACUCUACCGGAGUCACCUCUGUGACCUGUCCGGCCUUCUGCACACAAGUUACGCUCUAGUGCUUUCUCAUCAAUCAUCUGUGCACAUAAUCUAAGGUCACCCACCAGUCGAAAUCUCACUAACACUCUUCGACUGGCCCGUCGCACCCACUCCGCGUGGACUGUGCGACCAGCAUCUACUUGGAUCCAAGGCGAGCGUGCGAUGCGGUGAAUACUAUAAGCACUAAACCAUGGUGCAGGAUUUGAGCUCAAUAUACAUCAACAUCAUCAUAAUAGUAAUUAAAUACUCACCUGAUACUCACCUGUGCGUCCGCCGCACCAAUUCAUAUAUAUGCAUCAUAUAUCAAUUCAUAUCAUUUCAUACAUGGCAAUUCAAUUCACGUUUUUCAUAUAGUUCUAUAUACUUUUCACAUAUUUCUAUUUAAAGCAUAAUUUCAUGCUUUUUCAAUUUCUGGGAAAACGGCAAGUAUAUAUAUAUACGGAAAACAAAACUGCCCACUCACCUGGAGUUCGCCCUACAACUCCCUAGCACAAUACGCCAAGGCGUCAUGACGAUCGGCGCCUAAAACAAUAAUCAAUUCCAACCUUAGAAUUCAUAUCGAUAGAAUAUAUAACUUAUAUAAAAUACGUCACUGCGUAGUUCGAUCCGGAAGAUCCACCACUCAGAUUUUAAAUCCAUAACUUCCAGAGGUCCACAAUAUAUCUCUAGGAUAACAUCCUAAAAUUUCAUUACCAUCCAACGGUCGGAUCUCCGUCAAUUUCCAAAACUAAGUGACGGUUAACAUUUUAUUUUAUGAACUUACAACUCCAAUUCCUGAAGAUCCGUAAAUCGGAUUCCCAAUCCGAAAGUUCCAAUAAUCCUCAAAUAUUACGUAUUACUACGUAUCAAAGUUUAGUGACGAUCUAACGGUCGGAUCGUCAAUUCACGUUUUCACCUAAAUGUGAAAACUAUAAAACGUUAUUCGAACAUCUAACCAACAAUCCUUAAUAACUUUCUCAUACGGUGCUCAAUUUGGGUAUAUGAAUAUACCACGGUGAUCUACUCGACGUCACGGACGUCGACAUAUUUUUAAAAUAAUUUUAUUUUAUUUUAUUUUUUUUACUGUAGCACCUUCUUCUUCCUUGGGUCGCCGGACUGGUUUUUCCAGCGGCCGUUUUCUGGGCAGUUUUUCAAAUUGCCAUAACUUUGUCAUUUCUCAACGAAAUCAAGUGAUUCAAAAACGAAAGUUGUAGCCCUUGAAGAGACAAAGAGAAUGGUACCUUACAAAACACCUAGUUCUCCGUGGUUUGGCCGGAAACUGCCUCGAAAGCCUCGGAGGUCGCCGGAAACUGGGUAUUUUUCAAAUGAGUAUAACUUCUUCAAUACUCAACGAAAUUGAGUGAAACAAAAAGGAAAGUUGUAGUAAUUGACGAGAUGAAGAGAUUGAUACCUACCUCGACUCCUAACUCGCCGGGGAUUCGCCGGAAAAAGCCUCGAAAGCUCCGGCCAAACUUUGAACUUGUCGAUCUCCGUGUUCUUACGUCCAAAAACUUCCAACGAAGCACUCCGAGCUUCCUUGGGACCUCACUAAGCUCACUAUGAGCUUGGAUUGUCCUAAAACAAAGUCAAUUCGAAAAUCAUGAACAGUGCACUUUCACGGGGAGUUUAGAAUCUAGGUUUUCCGAAGUAAAACUUACCUGAAAUUGGUGUCUACGUGAUCGUGGAGUCUCCAGGAGUUCGAUGGUGGUCUUAACUCCGUCGUUGGUGGAAGUUUAAGGUUGUUUUGCGGUUGGUUUGUUCGAACGGAGAAGAAGAGUGACAGAGAGAGAGAGAUUCGUGAGGGAGGAGAGAGAGAGACAGUAUGCAGAAAAUAGGGAGAGGAUUGAGGGGUGUGGGGAUCCCAUGUGGUCCUUUUCCAAUCCCCAACUCCAAACCACAAAAUUUUAACCUAAAAAUCUAAGUUCCAUCCUUAAUAAAUUCCAUUUUAUUUUCAAAACUUAGGAACCUAGAUAAUUAUCAACUUGAGCUUCACAUACUUAGUAUUUCUUAAGGGCAAUUUCGUCCAUUCACAGCCACGAAUGUAAUAUUUUUGGAACGGGCUGUGACAAUCUUCCCUCCUUAUAGAAUUUCGUCCCCGAAAUUCCAGCAACCAACUAAAUCAACCAUACUUCAACAAUAGCUUCGGGUAAAUCUCUCUCAUCCGAUUCUCUUUCUCCCACAUAAUUUUCUACUGAAUGAUUUCCUUCACAAAGCUUUUACCACUUACUCUGUCUUAAUUCUCAAGACUUUCUUUUUCCAAUCUAAAGUCGUCCUUGGUUCCUUAUCAAGUCGAAUCCAAUUUAAUUCUCAAUAGUUGCACCAGAAUCUCAUGUGACGAAUCUGCCACCUAGUGACAACGUAUCGAACCCAAAAUACAUUAAGUAUCUUAGCCAACUCUGAAGACAUCACCACAUGUAUGCAACUUUAUUGAUUCCUUUAGUGAUCAAAACGGACUGAUGUGUUCAAGACUUAUCUUGUCUUCCUUUCUGAAUCUUACUAUUUCUGUUCAUGGUGAAAUUUCCAAAAAUAUCAAACCAUUUACCUUACACACUCGAUUAGUGGCAUAUCCAUCUGUUAGUCUCUUUUGCCAUUCCUGGUUACUUCAGGUUAACUUAAUCACCUGAAUACUUUGAGGAGACUCAUCCAAAAUUUCGGGUCCACCAAAAUUCUUUUGUGAUCGAAUCUUUCUCUACCCAGAAGCAUUCCAUCCACAAUUCAGCAAAAAUCGACACACAUGACACGCUUCAUGGACAUUAUGGCGUUACUUUGAAAACUGGCGAAACCAACAUACUUAAGAAACUCAGCAGUCCCGUAACCCAAUUCUCUU